rnacentral:rRNA from 1 species
UAAUUUUUAUUGUUGAAUAAAUUAAUAAAAAAAUAUAUAUUAUAUUAAUUAAAAUUUUAAAAAAAUUAAAUAUUAAUUUUUAGUAAAAAAUAAAAAUUAUAUUUUAAUAUAAAUAGAAAUUUUGAUUAAAAUUAUUUUAGUUAAUUUAAUUAUUUUUUAUAAUAAUAUUAUUUUUUAAAAAUAUUGAUUUAUUUUUUUUAAUUAUUUAAUUAUUAUUAUUAAUUAAAAUUAUUUUUUAUUAUAUAAUUUAUUUUUUAAAUUAAAUUUAAUAUAAAAUAUUUAUUAAAAUUUAAGGAUAUUUUAUUUAUAAUUUUUUUUUUCUACUCAAUGAUAUUUUUAAUUGUAUCUUUAGCGUGAUUGAUCAAAGGUAGCAUAAUAAUUUGGAAUUUUAUUGUUUUCUUGGAUGAAGAAUUUUUUAUAUUUUUUUUAAUUUUUUUUUUUUAGAAUUUUUUUUUUAUUUAAAAAAAAAUAAUUUAUAUAAUACUAAGAUUAGUCUUUGGAAAUUAUUUAAAUUAAUAAUUUAAUUAGGGUAAUUUAUUAUUUAUUUAUUUUUUCUUUAUAAAUAUUAUUAAUUUCUCCAGAGUUAACAGGAAUAAAUAUUUUAUAUUAUUUUUACAUCGUUGUUGUUUUAUUUUUAGUUAAAAUAAGAAUCUUUAUAUUUUUAGACUGUUCUUCUUUUAAAAAUACGUGAAGUUAGUUUAAUUCGUUGUAAAAUAGAAUUGUUUAUCUAGAUUAAAAUAUUUUAUAAUAAAGUGUACGAAAGGAUAUUUAUUUAAAAUUUAAUUUUUU